rnacentral:rRNA from 1 species
GAACGCUGGCGGCGUGCCUAACACAUGCAAGUCGAACGGGGUGAGAUCCUUCGGGGUUUCACUUAGUGGCGAACGGGUGAGUAACGCGUGAGAAACCUGCCUUUCAGUGGGGGACAACAGUUGGAAACGACUGCUAAUACCGCAUAACGUAUAUUGGGGGCAUCCCUGGUAUACCAAAGCUUUAUGUGCUGAAAGAUGGUCUCGCGUCUGAUUAGCUAGAUGGCGGGGUAACGGCCCACCAUGGCGACGAUCAGUAGCCGGUCUGAGAGGAUGAACGGCCACAUUGGGACUGAGAUACGGCCCAGACUCCUACGGGAGGCAGCAGUGGGGAAUAUUGGGCAAUGGGGGAAACCCUGACCCAGCAACGCCGCGUGAAGGAAGAAGGCCUUCGGGUUGUAAACUUCUUUUAGUAGGGACGAAUACGUGACGGUACCUACAGAAAAAGCAACGGCUAACUACGUG